GACGAACGCUGGCGGCGUGCCUAAUACAUGCAAGUAGAACGCUGAAGGGAGAGCUUGCUCUUCUGGAUGAGUUGCGAACGGGUGAGUAACGCGUAGGUAACCUGCCUGGUAGCGGGGGAUAACUAUUGGAAACGAUAGCUAAUACCGCAUAACAUUGACUAUUGCAUGAUAGUCAAUUAAAAGGUGCAAAUGCACCACUACCAGAUGGACCUGCGUUGUAUUAGCUAGUUGGUGGGGUAACGGCUCACCAAGGCUACGAUACAUAGCCGACCUGAGAGGGUGAUCGGCCACACUGGGACUGAGACACGGCCCAGACUCCUACGGGAGGCAGCAGUAGGGAAUCUUCGGCAAUGGACGGAAGUCUGACCGAGCAACGCCGCGUGAGUGAAGAAGGUUUUCGGAUCGUAAAGCUCUGUUGUAAGAGAAGAACGAGUGUGAGAGUGGAAAGUUCACACUGUGACGGUAUCUUACCAGAAAGGGACGGCUAACUACGUGCCAGCAGCCGCGGUAAUACGUAGGUCCCGAGCGUUGUCCGGAUUUAUUGGGCGUAAAGCGAGCGCAGGCGGUUAGAUAGUCUGAAGUUAAGGCUGUGGCUUAACCAUAGUACGCUUUGGAAACUGUUUAACUUGAGUGCAGAAGGGGAGAGUGGAAUUCCAUGUGUAGCGGUGAAAUGCGUAGAUAUAUGGAGGAACACCGGUGGCGAAAGCGGCUCUCUGGUCUGUAACUGACGCUGAGGCUCGAAAGCGUGGGGAGCAAACAGGAUUAGAUACCCUGGUAGUCCACGCCGUAAACGAUGAGUGCUAGGUGUUGGGUCCUUUCCGGGACUCAGUGCCGCAGCUAACGCAUUAAGCACUCCGCCUGGGGAGUACGACCGCAAGGUUGAAACUCAAAGGAAUUGACGGGGGCCCGCACAAGCGGUGGAGCAUGUGGUCUAAUUCGAAGCAACGCGAAGAACCUUACCAGGUCUUGACAUCCCGGUGCCCGUCCUAGAGAUAGGAUUUUGCUUCGGCACACCGGUGACAGGUGGUGCAUGGUUGUCGUCAGCUCGUGUCGUGAGAUGUUGGGUUAAGUCCCGCAACGAGCGCAACCCUUAUUGUUAGUUGCCAUCAUUUAGUUGGGCACUCUAGCGAGACUGCCGGUAAUAAACCGGAGGAAGGUGGGGAUGACGUCAAAUCAUCAUGCCCCUUAUGACCUGGGCUACACACGUGCUACAAUGGCUGGUACAACGAGUCGCAAGUCGGUGACGGCAAGCUAAUCUCUUAAAGCCAGUCUCAGUUCGGAUUGUAGGCUGCAACUCGCCUACAUGAAGUCGGAAUCGCUAGUAAUCGCGGAUCAGCACGCCGCGGUGAAUACGUUCCCGGGCCU
rnacentral:rRNA from 1 species